GACGAACGCUGGCGGCGUGCCUAAUACAUGCAAGUAGAACGCUGAAGGAGGAGCUUGCUUCUCUGGAUGAGUUGCGAACGGGUGAGUAACGCGUAGGUAACCUGCCUGGUAGCGGGGGAUAACUAUUGGAAACGAUAGCUAAUACCGCAUAAUAGUAGAUGUUGCAUGACAUUUGCCUAAAAGGUGCAAUUGCAUCACUACCAGAUGGACCUGCGUUGUAUUAGCUAGUUGGUGGGGUAACGGCUCACCAAGGCGACGAUACAUAGCCGACCUGAGAGGGUGAUCGGCCACACUGGGACUGAGACACGGCCCAGACUCCUACGGGAGGCAGCAGUAGGGAAUCGUCGGCAAUGGACGGAAGUCUGACCGAGCAACGCCGCGUGAGUGAAGAAGGUUUUCGGAUCGUAAAGCUCUGUUGUAAGAGAAGAACGAGUGUGAGAGUGGAAAGUUCACACUGUGACGGUAUCUUACCAGAAAGGGACGGCUAACUACGUG
rnacentral:rRNA from 1 species